UAGCUCAGUCAGGAGAGCAUGAAACUCUUAAUUUCAAGGUCAUGGGUUCAUGUCCCAU
rnacentral:tRNA from 1 species